UACGUAGGGUCCGAGCGUUGUCCGGAAUUACUGGGCGUAAAGAGCUCGUAGGUGGUUUGUCGCGUUGUUCGUGAAAACUCACAGCUCAACUGUGGGCGUGCGGGCGAUACGGGCAGACUAGAGUACUGCAGGGGAGACUGGAAUUCCUGGUGUAGCGGUGGAAUGCGCAGAUAUCAGGAGGAACACCGGUGGCGAAGGCGGGGUCUCUGGGCCGAUACUGACGCUGGAGGAGCGAAAGCCGUGGGGAGCGAACAGG
rnacentral:rRNA from 1 species